CAAUGAAUCAUUCAGUCCUUUAAUUUCUUGUAGCCUAUUGGGAAAUGUCAAAAAUCCAAUUAAAGUCAAUUAUUACUAACAUUUGAUUGAACAAAUUACACUUCUCAGGUCAACAAAAUCAUAGUAAUCCUGAAGUAUGAAAAACUGAAUAUAUUUAACCCAGAUAAAUGAAGAUAUUUCUCAGAACAUUCAUCAUAGGAAUGUAGAAUAUUUAUUCAACAUACUCAGCUGAUUCUAAUGAAUGAGGUCAGCUGGGCAAACAAACCCCCGAGAUUUUAUGCUGAUGUUUUGUCCUUCCUCUCAGUUCCGUUGAUCUUGCAUCUAUGAUUGCAGGAUGGAUUGGAGGAUCAACGUGGAUGUCAACGAGAAUUUUUGCAGUUAUUCUGCUAUAGCAGAUAACACAUUUGGGGUAGUUAGCCAUCACAGAGGAAAAAAAAGUCAUGUGAAUUAGGGAUAAACAAAGGAUAAGUUCCAGAUUCUCCACCAAGGUAAACCCACGUCAGCUGGACGCAACUGACAAGAGUUUUGUGAUUAAGCUGCCCUUACAUCUCAGGGUGCCACUAACUGGCUCUGCAGCAAUACUGAGGCUUUUACGGUUGAUUUUUUUGUCUCAGCAUAAAUCAUUUGGCACAGUUAAAAUCAUAAUUUAAGAAAUGGGUAUGGAAAUGCUAGCCAGCAUGGCGGCUCGGUGGGUAGCAUUGUAACCUUGCUGGGCUGGAGGCCAGAUCGCAGCCUCUGACUCUGUGAGCGCAGGUUGUGUUUCUGUGUUCCUGAGAGUUUCCUGUAUGAACUCUGGUUCCCUCCUCUAGUUAGGUGAAUCAGUACCUCUGUAUUUCCCAUAGUGUACAAUUGUCUGUGCAUGUCCUGUGAGGGAGGGGCACCCCGUCCAGCGUGUCCCGACGCUUCUGGAGAUAAGAAGUUAUAAAACAUAUAUGAGUUCAGGCCUGGUUAUAAAUAAGUAAAACCCAUCCACAGUAUAUGCUGGCUCAGGUACACCCUAGCUUAUUGUGACCCAUUUUCCAUCUCAGGGUCUCAGCAUAGAUAGAUAGACAGAUAGAUAGAUAGACAGAUAGAUAGAUAGAUAGAUAGAUAGAUAGAUAGAUAGAUAGAUAGAUAGAUAGAUAGAUAGAUGGAUAGAUAGAUAGAUAGAUAGAUAGAUAGAUAGAUAGAUAGAUAGAUAGAUAGAUAGAUAGAUCACCAUGAUUAAUAAUAUUCCUGUACCUUUUUCCAUAGAAAUCAAGCUGAGUAACUAAGACAGUUUUGAUACAGAGUAAUAGUAUCCACAUACAUUCGUGGGUGGUACUUGCCACAGUGGUUACAUGGCAACCUCUUGGCUGUCAUGCCUGUUGUCACAUGUUUCCGUUUGUGUGCAUCCUUGGCUGCCUGCCCUGCAGUGCAGUUCUUCAGACUCUGCCUGUGGUUCCGCUCAGGCAGCCCUCCUGUCGCAACUCAAUAAUAUUGAUAAGUUUCAACAACCUCAGCACCACAGGUGACAUUUAGAUCAAAGCCCCACCUCAGGUCAAUGAAGAUCAUCAGUUUAUCAGCAGGGAUAUUUACAAGACUGGUAUAGGGAUGCAUUUCUGCAAAGACAGUUGACAUAGUUGGGUAAGAUUUCCUGUUAUCAGCUAGAGAACAGAUCCCUGUGACAGGCAAAAGGCAGGUGGGAGAAACUUUAUUUUUGUUGCAAGCCGGGUGAAACUUAACUGUUUGGGGAUGUAAACACAGUGCUCAAGUCUUAGGGCUAUAGCCAGAAGCAGUCUCAGGUCUAUGAGUAGAAGAGAAAAGGAUUAAACGUUAAAGGCUGAUCUGAUUGGAUGAGGUCACCUGCCCCCUCUCCCACAUGUCAUACGCACAUUUCACCAUACGACACCGUAAUGUCAGCACAUCCCAGGAUUUAACUGUGUUUACUGUCACUUCUGGAAUUUUUGAGCAAUUACCUAAGAAUUCAGGUUAUAAUAUAAGCACAAAGGCUCUUACAGAGUGCAGCACUGUGGGGUCCAUCGCUAACAAGGUUAGCAUUGUGUUGGCCUUAGAGAUCCUUUUGCCAUUUAAUGCAGAGCGGUGAGCAGAUUUGAGAGAUGAGUUUUACUUCUUCUGGAAAUAAUUAUUUUGACGAGUAAAUCAAACUCAGUGUAAAGUUCAGUGCUACGUAGUUUGGUCUCUCUCAAUGGAUUCGUAUUUUCAGCAUUUAUUGUAACGGUGAUUUAGAUUUAGUAAAGGAAAGAUGUAGGUUUUUCACCCUAGAAAACUGGAGAGAUCUGGAAAGAUAUAUACAGGGCAUGCUGAUAGUCCUCCCAGUUACUGGAACUUAUGUAAUGCGUGCAGCUCUGCAUCUGAAGCCCUCACUCCCACCUGUGGUGCAUAGUACAGCAUGUUCUGCUCUCAGCUGAUUUUGAAUCAGAUGGCAGCGCUCCAGAUCUAUCCCUAACAAUUACAGGCUAAGUGCUGAAACUGAUCCCGGGUCAUGGGAAUAACGUCUCCCCACCAAGCGCCUGUUGCAAUAGAGAAGAGCAGCCAUGACCUCCAAUCCACCCAACCCUAUUUGGGAGUAAAAUAAGUGAAGCACUUAAGGCCCUCAGCUGCCGGAGCUGAUGACAGGUGGCAAAGCCGAAAGUGCAAUUUGCUGAUUGCAGGAAGAUGAGCUGGUGUCACCGGAGAGGGCCGCUUCUUAUCGGUCGAGAGUCUGCGUGACAAAGCAAGAGAAAAAAAUUAAAAUACUGCCCAACUCCCCUGAGAAAAACACUAGUCCAAUUAUACUAAUUGUGUUAUUGUUUUUUGGUAGACCUUCCAGAGAGAAUUAAGAAAAAAAAUGCCUAGGAUGGAUAAAACCUAAACACUGAUCGCUAACUCUCAGAUGGACAGAAACAUUGUAAAAUUUCUGAAACAAAAACAUAAACAAACAGACGAAACGGCCAUUAGCCGGAGGCCUCCACCAAAUCCCCUUAGCUAAGUCUCCUGAAAAUUGGCCUUUCGGUGACCCCUGUGCUCGACGCCGGCUGAGACGCUUCUGAACGUGUAAUAACGUUACCGCGAGCUCUUUCGCAGGGUGCAGCGUGGGGGUUAGGUGAGAAAUCAAAUUUCUCCAGUUCUCACAAAGGGAAACCACUUACGGUCCCAGCAGCAGCAGCGGCGGCAGCAAGGAUGUUAGUCAAGGACACGACGCCCGGGAAGGGGAGCGUUCACGCUGUACUUAAGGCUGUCUCAUGGCCCCCGCCCCCCCGAGGACCUGGAGAUAUUGAUUUCUCAGCACCAGCCAUAAAGUCUGAAAUGGAUACCUUUGCAUUACGUCUUUCUUCAGCUGUCUGGUGUUUGUUUAUGGAACGUGGUCUUAUACUGGCACAUGAUUCACCAGCUUACCAGCUCUAUUUUUGUUAAAGCGACGCACACCAGCUCCGAGUAGAGUCGCUGGCAUUUUCUCCCCGUGUUCUCAUGGUUUCUGGCUCCGCUUUCCUCCCAACAUCCUUUCGCGUGUCGGUGGCGGCGAAUCGCCUGUACCCUUCGAUUGUGUGUAUGAGUGUGUGCCCACGAUGGACUGACACUCUGUAUCCUGUAACUUGCCUGGUGCCUUGUACUUCCAAGGGGAGUCUUCAGAUUCACAGCAGCCCUGGAAGAUGUUAUGGAAGAAAGUAAGAAAUGAGAUUUUGAAGAUUCAGAACCUGCAGGCGAUGAGUUUACUGUGCACUAUCUUGUAGAAAUUUGCUCAGUAUAGUAGCCAGUGGGAGGUGGGUUAAACCAAACCGUGCAUAAAAUGAUGCACAAUCCCAUCCACCACAGGUUCUGAAGACCGAUUCCUCUGUCCUUAUAGGAAGUCCAAAGAAAAGUGUGCUAUUUCGCUGCAGGUGUCAAGGUGUUUGGUGUACAUCUGUGUUUGGUCGCACUGGGGAGUUGCCCUGUCUUGUGUCCCGUCCUGCCUGGGAUAGGUUCCAGGCCCCCCAUUCGAACCCACACUGGAUAAGCAGCUGGAAGAUGGAUAAGUGGAUAUUAAUCAUUUGUUUUCAAAAUGGUAAUGAGUAUAAAUAACUAUCAUGAACUGGCAUAGUGAUGGGACUUUGCAUUCAUGUCAUUGAGCAUGCAAAUAGUGCUUUAGAUUGUAGAUUUGAAUUAACAUUUGCCAGUGUUUCCUAAAUAAAUGCGUAUGGAAACAAAAUUAGGCAAGAUAUGAACAGGUUGCAGGUAUAUCUAAGAGUGAAUGCGAUACGUGUGCAGCACAUCAUGAGUUACAAAAUCCUUUUUUAGAUUUUCCAUGUUCAGGGUUGGUUUUAAUAGUGACUCGAGAUUCCUUAAUUGUUUUUAAAAGCCCAGCACAGAACCAGCUAAAAUGCUUAAAUCCUGAGCAGUUGUGUUUUCAACACAAACCGAACACCUACCUCUGAAAAGACCAGCAUUGUACCGACCUGGCAGCCCAUUGUUCCAGAAUGUUCUCCAACAGAUGGCUGAUAAAUGAAGCAACGAGGGAAUCGAUAACGAAGACCUGCGGGCAGCCACUGUGAUCGGCAUCGCAGCGACGUCUGCGGCGUGAGCUCGUGUUCAAAAAGAAACAAAACAGAAUCAGAGAUGCUGACGUGAAAAUGCAUUUCAAAAUUCUGAGCCUGCUGUUUUUCAGUUAUUACGGCUAACAUUAAAAUUCUGCUAUUUUUAUUCUUAUAUUCUUUGAAAAUUGAUAUUAUCUCAAAAUUCAGGGAUAUAUAUGUGUAUUUCUUUAACUCUGUCUAUUACAAAUGAGAAUUCUGUAUCACAGUUUUAAAUAAGUGAGUGUUCAACAUCACAGGAGGAACCUGGAGAUGCAAAAGAAAAGCUUUAUCGGAUCCUGCGUGUUCAUGUGUUCAUUCAUGGAUCAAAUCAUAACACUAUGUCUAAAUUGCACUUCACUUUAUUGCGACAUGAGAUUAUUUAAAGACUCAUUUAUGUUAUUUUCUCUGAAUGACUAAAUUGGGUAAACCUACAAUUUAAGCAGCUUUGGAAAAUUGCAUAGGCACUAAAAUGCAUUUAAUUGCAAUUAAAAAGCGCAUUAAUACACAUGUGCUAGAUGCCAUUGUGCUUUUUUGUGUCCCUCUGACAGUGUUUUGUAUCUUAUUCUCAUUCAGAUGUGAAGCAUUUAGAGUAAGUGGGCUGUAAUUUACCAAUUACAUAAAUGAUACUUCACUCAGCUGCAGCUGACUGAGUUUAUAUAAUAAAUUAAUCAUGCUGUGCG